rnacentral:rRNA from 1 species
UGAGGAAUAUUGGUCAAUGGACGAGAGUCUGAACCAGCCAAGUAGCGUGCAGGAUGACGGCCCUAUGGGUUGUAAACUGCUUUUGUUUGGGAAUAAUCGACAUUACGUGUAAUGUUUUGCAUGUACCAUUCGAAUAAGGACCGGCUAAUUCCGUGCCAGCAGCCGCGGUAAUACGGAAGGUCCAGGCGUUAUCCGGAUUUAUUGGGUUUAAAGGGAGUGUAGGCGGUUGGUUAAGCGUGUUGUGAAAUGUAGAUGCUCAACAUCUGACUUGCAGCGCGAACUGGCUGACUUGAGUACACACAACGUAGGCGGAAUUCAUGGUGUAGCGGUGAAAUGCUUAGAUAUCAUGAAGAACUCCGAUUGCGAAGGCAGCUUACGGGAGUGUUACAGACGCUUAAGCUCGAAGGUGCGGGUAUCGAACAGG